rnacentral:misc_RNA from 1 species
UACAGGGCGCAGCAGUGGGGAAUUUUGGACAAUGGGGAAACCUGAUCCAGCCAUCCCGCGUGUGCGAUGAAGGCCUUCGGAGUUGUAAGCACUUUUUGGCAGGAAAACGGCGCAGGAUAGUACGUGCAACUGACGACACCUGCAGAAUAAGCACCGGCUAACUACGUGCCAACAGCCGCGGUAAUACGUAGGGUGCAAGCGUUAAUCGGAAUUACUGGGCGUAAAGCGUGCGCAGGCGGUUCGGAAGAAAGAUGUGAAAUCCCAGAGCUUAACUUUGAAGACUGCAUUUUUAACUACCGAGCUAGAGUGUGUCAGAGAGUGGAAUACGCGUGUAGCAGUGAAAUGCGUAGAUAUGCCGGAGGAACACCGAUGGCGAAGGCAGCCUCCUGGGAUAACACUGACGCUCAUGCACGAAAAGCGUGGGAGCAAGCAGGAUUAGAUACCCGGGUGG